UACGGAGGAUCCAAGCGUUAUCCGGAUUUAUUGGGUUUAAAGGGUGCGUAGGUGGCCUGUUAAGUCAGUGGUGAAAUCUUCGAGCUUAACUCGGAAACUGCCGUUGAUACUAUCUGUCUUGAAUACCGUGGAGGUGAGCGGAAUAUGUCAUGUAGCGGUGAAAUGCUUAGAUAUGACAUAGAACACCAAUUGCGAAGGCAGCUCGCUACACGAAUAUUGACUCUGAGGCGCGAAAGCGUGGGGGAUCAAACAGG
rnacentral:rRNA from 1 species